UUCGUCAAAUGAAAUUAAAUCCGAGUGGCGGACGGGUGAGUAACGCGUGGAUAACCUGCCUCACACAGGGGGACAACAGCCGGAAACGGCUGCUAAUACCGCAUAACACAAGCAAUUCGCAUGAACAGCUUGUCAAAGAUUUCAUCGGUGUGAGAUGGAUCCGCGUCUGAUUAGCCAGUUGGCGGGGUAACGGCCCACCAAAGCGACGAUCAGUAGCCGACCUGAGAGGGUGACCGGCCACAUUGGGACUGAGACACGGCCCAAACUCC
rnacentral:rRNA from 1 species